rnacentral:rRNA from 1 species
AGCGGCAGGCCUAAUACAUGCAAGUCGGACGGGAUUUGGGAGCUUGCUCCUAAUGAGAGUGGCGCACGGGUGCGUAACACGUAUGUAACCUACCUUUAUCAGGGGGAUAGCCUCUCGAAAGAGAGAUUAAGCCCGCAUAAUAUUACGACAUAGCAUUAUGAUGUAAUCAAAUAUUUAUAGGAUAAAGAUGGGCAUGCGGAACAUUAGCUAGUUGGUAAGGUAAUGGCUUACCAAGGCUACGAUGUUUAGGGGAUCUGAGAGGAUGACCCCCCACACUGGUACUGAGACACGGACCAGACUCCUACGGGAGGCAGCAGUAAGGAAUAUUGGUCAAUGGGCGCAAGCCUGAACCAGCCAUGCCGCGUGCAGGAAGACGGCCCUACGGGUUGUAAACUGCUUUUGCAGGGGAAUAAACCCCCGUUCGUGAACGGGGUUGAAUGUACUCUGAGAAUAAGGAUCGGCUAACUCCGUGCCAGCAGCCGCGGUAAUACGGA